rnacentral:sRNA from 1 species
CACCGCCUGGGGAGUACGACCGCAAGGUUAAAACUCAAAUGAAUUGACGGGGACCCGCACAAGUAGUGGAGCAUGUGGUUUAAUUCGAAGAUACGCGCAGAACCUUACCAACACUUGACAUGUUCGUCGCGACUUUAAGAGAUUAAAGUUUUCGGUUCGGCCGGACGAAACACAGGUGCUGCAUGGCUGUCGUCAGCUCGUGUCGUGAGAUGUUGGGUUAAGUCCCGCAACGAGCGCAACCCUCACUUUUAGUUGCCAUCAUUAAGUUGGGCACUCUGAAAGAACUGCCAGUGAUAAGCUGGAGGAAGGUGGGGAUGACGUCAAGUCCUCAUGGCCCUUACGUGUUGGGCUACACACGUGCUACAAUGGUAUCUACAACAGGAAGCAAGACGGCGACGUCAAGCAAAUCCUUAAAAGAUACCUCAGUUCGGAUUGCACUCUGCAACUCGAGUGCAUGAAGCUGGAAUUACUAGUAAUCGUGGAUCAGCGUGCCACGGUGAAUGCGUUCCCGGGUCUUGUACACACCGCCCGUCACACCAUGGGAGUUGGUUCUACCUUAAGGCAAGGUUUAAAACCCUUGACCACGGUAUAGUCAGCGACUGGGGUGAAGUCGUAACAAGGUAGCCGUAGGGGAACCUGCGGCUGGAUUACCUCCUUUCUAAGGAUGAAUAAAAGUAAAAUUUUAUUCUAAAUAAUAUACAGGCAAUGUUGACCGUCCUCAUUUCUCUUCUUAAAACAGUGUUUCUCUUGCAUGGGGGCCGGUAGCUCAGUUGGUUAGAGCACACCCUUGAUAAGGGUGGGGUCGAAAGUUCGAGUCUUUCUCGGCCCACCAAUUGAAAGAUUAAGGGGGAUUAGCUCAGCUGGGAGAGCGCCUGAUUUGCAUUCAGGAGGUCAGCGGUUCGAUCCCGCUAUCCUCCACCAAAACACUUAGUUAUAAAAAAUUGUGAAAAAUAAUAAUUAAUAUCAAUAUCUAUAUCCGAACAUUAGUAAUGUUAUUAGCGAAUGUUCAAUUAAAAAUUUGAUUCAACACAGAAUUUUUUUCUG